rnacentral:lncRNA from 1 species
AUCAACAUUUAUUGAGCAUGUAUGUGCGAAAUGCGUUCAUUUAAAUCAAGGUUUCUCCACCUCAGCACUAUUGACAUUUGGGGCUGGGUAGUCGUGGAGCCUGUCCCGUACAUGGUAGGAUGUUUAGCAGCAUCCCUGAGCUCUAUCUACCGGAUGCCAAGAGCACCAGACCCCCCGUUAUGACAACUGUAAGUGUCUCCAGACAUUGCCAAACAUCCUGGGAUGGGGGGAUGAGGAGGAUGUCCUUGUGAAGAACUACUGAUUGCAAUUAUCCAGUUGAGUUAAAUAAUUCACAACAACCCAGCAAAGUAAGGCUUCCGCGGUCUUCGCUGUGCCAGGGUCAUGCUGUGGUCUACGCAGACCCGGGUGGGAGCCUCCUCCUUUGUCACUCUGGUUUCCCCUUAGUCUCCUGGCUACCCAAGCAGUAUAGCUUGUGCCAAACGUCUCACCAGACUCGACCAUGACGUGACACUGUUUCUUCUACUUCUCUUCCUGUAUCCCCGGGCUCCGAGAGACCCAGACUGGGUCUGUGGGGCUGGGGAAACUAGGCUAUCACAGGGCUGCUGCUUGUCCCGCCUCCCUUCUCUGAUGGAAGGUAUUCACUCAAACCUUAAAAGUGUCAGGACACAGAGGGAUAAGAAUCUAACUCCCAUCAAGCACUAUCUGCCAGGCAGCAGCUAGUAACACCUGCUUUACCCCUGAGUUGCUCAAUUCUAACGUGGGUGGCUCUCGCUCGUUUAAAGGCAAUGAAUGAACGUUUUCAGGCUACUUACUGUCUGAGCUCUUGUAAGGUAGAUGGAGGUUUACAACCCCCAGGGGGGUCUUGCAGUGUAAGCUGAAACUGGCCCCCAUGUGCAGGGAGCAGCGAGACACUAAACAAAGAGGCAGGUAGGUGGUGGGUGGCAAUUUUAAUAACAGCAAAGGGAACUUACAGAAGAGGCCUGUCUUAGGUGGCAGUAAGAUCAAUGGGUCCCAGGAUACGUCCUCCAAAUCUUAAAAGCUUAAGAGGCCCUCACUGGGUUCGGUUACGUAUGUACGUAUUCCGUGCAGCUGUUUUCAACAUCACAUCACCAUCUCCAGGCUGUUAGACAGGAAAGGCAAGCGGAACAUUCCAAGGGGAGGGGCGUGGAGCCUCUGAUCCCCCAGGUCCAGCUCACUGGUCAGUGUACGGUGGGAUGAUUUGAUUUUCGGAUAUAUUGCAAAAUGUUUACCACAGUAAGGUUAGUUAACAUAUCUUCUGCAAACACAUCAUUUUGUCGUCGUCGUUGUGGUUAUGGUAAGAGCGUUAAAGCUCUACUCUCAGAGCAACUUUCAAGGAUCCAAUCUACAGUAUUGUGGAUAGUCACCAUGCUGUGCAUUGGAUCCUUGGAUCUUAUUAGUCCUGUAACUGAAAGUUUGUACCCUUUGACCAACAUCUCCCCACGUUUCCCCACCACUCAGCCCUUGGCAACCACCAUUCUACUCUGUUUCUAUGAGUUUGAUGUUUUUAAAUUCUGCAUAUGAGAGAUCACAUAGUAUUUUUCUUUGACUUAUUUCACCUAGAGGAAAGCCCUGGAAGUCCAUUCACAUUGUUGCAAACGGAAGGUCUUCCUGUGUCCAGGGCUGAGUACUGCUCCACUGUGUAUAUAAUCACAUAUGCACAGGCUCAUCCACUCAUCUUUUGACGGACACUUACGUUGUUUCCAUGCCUUGGCUAUUGUAAAUAAUGCCGUAAUGAACCUGAGACUGCAGAUACCUUGUCAGUCUCCUGUUUUCAUUUCCUUUGGAUAUAUACCCAGAAGUAGGAUCACUGGGGCACAUGGUAUUUCUAUUUUUAAUGUUUAUUUUUCAUUUAUUUUUUAUUUUUAACGUCUUGAGGAACCUUGGUACUGUGUUCCAGAGGGGCUGUGCCAGUUAUAUUGCCACCAACAGCACACAUUGUCUUCACAUCUUCACCAACACAUGCUGUCUCUUAUCUUCUUGAUGGUAGCCAGUUGAACAGAUGAGCAGUGAUAGUUCACAGCACUUCUGAUGUGCAUUUCCUCGAUGAUUAGUGAUGUGGAACACCUUUCCAUAUAACAGCUGGUCUGUCUUCUUUGGAAAAGAGUCAUUUUUUUCAUGUCUCUCAUGAAUAAACAAAAUCUUUUAAAAAACUGGGAAGAUAAAUCUAUUGGAGGAUAUAGUUCAUAUGGAUUUAGAAACUGAAUUUUGAUUGAAAUAAAUCACCGAUGGUCUUCAAAACAAAACAAAAGCUAACA